UACGGAGGUGCAAGCGUUAUCCGGAUUCACUGGGUUUAAAGGGUGCGUAGGUGGUUGGUAAGUCAGUGGUGAAAUCCCCGAGCUUAACUCGGGAACUGCCAUUGAUACUAUCAGUCUUGAAUAUUGUGGAGGUUAGCGGAAUAGUGUCAUGUAGCGGUGAAAUGCUUAGAUAUGACAUAGAACACCAAUUGCGAAGGCAGCUGGCUACACAUAUAUUGACACUGAGGCACGAAAGCGUGGGGAUCAAACAGG
rnacentral:rRNA from 1 species